rnacentral:rRNA from 1 species
AAUAGCAGUCAAACCUCCUUGUCAAAGCCUGAUCUCAUCAGAUCUCAGAAGCUAAGCAGGGCUGGGCCUGUUUAGUACAUGGAUUGGAGACCACUGGGAAUACCAGGUGUCUCAAUGG